rnacentral:misc_RNA from 1 species
UACAAAGUGAUGACAACCCAAGCCUUGUUUGUCUAUAUAAGCAAAUCCAGUUUCCCAUAGAGCUUGCAUCCUACUCUUCAUGGCUGCUUGAGUUUAUUCAAAACAACUUUACACAAUCCUAAACACCCUUUAGACUUCUAUUCCUCUUUCUUUCUCUCUUGCUCUUGAGGUGAAGAGAGAUGGCUGGUCUAAACGCAGAGAAGGAUGUUAAUCCCAGCAGCCAACCUUCUGCAGAGAAAACACUUGCAGAUU